rnacentral:rRNA from 1 species
GUGGGGAAUAUUGCACAAUGGGGGAAACCCUGAUGCAGCAACGCCGCGUGAGUGAUGACGGUCUUCGGAUUGUAAAGCUCUGUCUUCAGGGACGAUAAUGACGGUACCUGAGGAGGAAGCCACGGCUAACUACGUGCCAGCAGCCGCGGUAAUACGUAGGUGGCAAGCGUUGUCCGGAUUUACUGGGCGUAAAGGGAGCGUAGGUGGAUAUUUAAGUGGGAUGUGAAAUACUCGGGCUUAACCUGGGUGCUGCAUUCCAAACUGGAUAUCUAGAGUGCAGGAGAGGAGAGUGGAAUUCCUAGUGUAGCGGUGAAAUGCGUAGAGAUGAGGAAGAACACCAGUGGCGAAGGCGACUCUCUGGACUGUAACUGACACUGAGGCUCGAAAGCGUGGGGAGCAAACAGGAUUAGAAACCCUUGUAGUCC